UCAUUGGGUGUUUUCAACAAGUUGAUUUUUCCCAUUGAUGAGCUAGGGUGUUUGUUCAGAGAAGUUGUUAUUGUUUCGCUAGUGCAUUAUUGACGUUACAUCUAAGUUCAAUUUUUUAUAUUUUACAGGGAGUUGGCGUGGGAAUGUAUAUUUUCCGGAAUUUGACGAGUCAUGCUCAUAUCUCUUUUCGCAGUCGUCUUCUCGAUGUCUCAAGCAAGAUUGUCGACUUCAUGCAUCAACAAAGACAACGCCGUAAGGUGGCAUGGAGGAAGACACUUUUGAUUGCCUCAGUCAAGUGCCUGGAGCAGAUUGUCCACUAUAUCUCUGGAAUCAGCGCAAAAAAGCCAAAAGUUAUAUACGAGAUGUUACUGUCCAUCAUCUUCUGGAUACUGGCUGAAAAGGACUGUGAACCGCAUGUGUGGAACAAGCUCAAAAUCACGAGACAAAUGAAGGGAGUCGUGUUGGAGAGGAAGCUGAGUUGGUGAAUUGGGAACAAAGAUCUUUAUGUCACAUGGAUGAUAUGAUAGCGAUAUGAGAGUGCCUGGGUUCGUUCUUCAGCGUCAUAAAGCCAGAAUUAAUCGAAGAGGGACAAGCAAUGACAAACAAUUAAUUUUUCCAAAAGGUAGACGUUACAUUAGUUAAAAACCGCUGUCGCUAGGGACAAUUCGAUAAUUCUUCAUCAAACUGUUGAAAAUUAAGCAUUGAAACAAUUUCUGGAAGAUUAAAUGCAAACUACAGAGAAUUUCCUGGAUGAAAUUUAAUUCUACCAAACCUUUUGAUGAAUAAAUACUCAGUUUUUCUACCAGUUGUAGUUUUUUUGGUUGCUUAAUCUGAAAUGAAAUUUUUUGCUCAGGUCUUUCACGUACAAACUACGUUUAAAAAUUUUCAAUUUUCCCGCCAAAAGACUUAGAAAAAAUACGGGCG